rnacentral:lncRNA from 1 species
UAGUUGAAAAUUCUAAGAUAUGUACAAGCCAAAACAAACAAUAUAUUUAUAAAUUGUCUAGAUGAAUUUCUAUAAAAAAAUUGAGUUUUGUAGUAGUAUAGAUACUUAAAAAAAGAAUUAAUUGUACAAUUAAAUCUUGUCCCUUAGUUAUACAAAGGAUAAAUAGGUGGUUUGUUAACCAAUACUAUCCAUUAUUAUUAAGG